UACGUAGGGUGCGAGCGUUAAUCGGAAUUACUGGGCGUAAAGCGUGCGCAGGCGGUCUGUUAAGACCGAUGUGAAAUCCCCGGGCUUAACCUGGGAACUGCAUUGACUGGCAGGCUUUGAGUGUGGCAGAGGGAGGUAGAAUUCCACGUGUAGCAGUGAAAUGCGUAGAGAUGUGGAGGAAUACCGAUGGCGAAGGCAGCCUCCUGGGCCAACACUGACGCUCAUGCACGAAAGCGUGGGGAGCAAACAGG
rnacentral:rRNA from 1 species